rnacentral:rRNA from 1 species
UACGUAGGGUGCAAGCGGUAAUCGGAAUUACUGGGCGUAAAGCGUGCGCAGGCGGUCUUGUAAGACAGAGGUGAAAUCCCCGGGCUUAACCUGGGAACUGCCUUUGUGACUGCAAGGCUUGAGUACGGCAGAGGGGGAUGGAAUUCCGCGUGUAGCAGUGAAAUGCGUAGAUAUGCGGAGGAACACCGAUGGCGAAGGCAGUCCCCUGGGCCUGUACUGACGCUCAUGCACGAAAGCGUGGGGAGCAAACAGG